CAAACUUUGUGGCGCAGAUGAUUUUCUCCAUCUGAAGUAAAAGUGCACCAAGAACUUAGAGUCUUUCCUACACUGACAGGAGAGAGCUGCAGAUGGAUGAAGUUCAUGGAAAAACUGAAAACUGUGAAAAGUCCUGAUGAACUUUACAGACGAUAUUGAACCAUGGUGAAAUUACAGGAUAUGGUCUGUAACAGACAUGGACUCAUGGGCCUCCUUCUCAGAGCAGGAGGAGCAGAUGAUACUUCUACAGAAGAAAUGAUGGAGAUGAUGAUUCAUGUAAAAUAUUUGAAGUUAAGGUUUUAGUCUCUUGGAGAUACAGAAUGUUCACUGAAUAAAAGCUUUGUUACACUUUUGGAUCCAAGCAGAUAAAAACAUUUUUCAAGUUGACCAACUAAAUCACCACAGUAACUGCAACUGUAACUACAUUUUCUCUGUCUGAAGGUAAAUGUCAGCAGUUUUAAUGUUUUAUACGUCAGCACUACCUGUCGUUACCUGUUGUUACCUGAGUUUUCUGAUGUUUGUGUUUUUGUGAGGUUGUCGUGGAAUCGUUGUUAAACCCGAAGUUACCGUGCCAAACCCAAAUCCUGCUUCAUAGUACAGGCCUCAGGCCUCUGGUCCUCCUCCAACAGGAACCAGGUUCUUUAUGUAAAAUUGUAUUUAAACGUGAUCAAUAAUUAAAUGAAAGAGAUUUCAUUAAAAAAAAAAAAAAGCUUUAAUAUUAUUGUAAAAGCUUUAUAGAAAUUGUCAGUCUUUUAUUUUGAAAAGCACGUACAAGUUGUUUGGAAUCUAAUACUUUUGUAGUAAAAGUAACCCAGUGUUUCCAUUUUCUGCUUCUUUAUACAUUUACUUCACAACUUUUCAGAGGGAAAUAUUUCACUGUUUUACUGCAUUUAUUU